GCCUCAGUCCUUCGCCGUCCCUCGCCGUCCUUCGCCAUCGCACGCCACCGCACCCCAUCUCUCGAAAUCUGCAGACAUCUUGAUUUUUCCCACGCUGUCUGUCAGGUCUCCGCCGCCACUCGACGCCAGGGCGCCGGGUGAGUCCACAGCAGGGCGCAUGGUCGGCUCCACUCUCACCAUCGGGGGAAACUGAGGCCCCGGGGAAGGCGGCCAGAGAGGUCAGGCCCUGUCCUUGGUGCAGUGUCUCGUCCUCUUUGCCGGAGUGAGCCCCCCAGGAUUCGCGUGUCCUCGGGAAAGACACUGGCAGGCCUUGUGGGCUGUGCUGCACCUCGGACGGCUUCGCACCAGCCAGCGCCCUCUCUCUCCUGCAGCACUCUGAUCUGCACCCCCUGAGGGGCUUCCACUGUCCGCGGGGUGAGAAUGCCCCUGGGUAAGUGCCGCUGCUUCUGCGCACCUUGGGGAAGGACCCUUCUGUGGGACGCAGUAGAGGGGACAGUCAAUGAGCUCAGCCAGUUCUGAGUUCUGAGAACUGUCUGGCAAAGCGGGUGCAGAGCAAAGCGUGACUUAGGAGACGGGCUGCGCUU
rnacentral:lncRNA from 1 species